CCAAAUAGUGAAAAUGGAAACGUGUAUUCUUGCCAAUUCAGUAGCGUUCUAGAGGAUGAUAUACAUUGUGACAAAAAAUUCGAGUUAAAUUCUACUUUCAACAAAUAUUUAAGUCAUACUCGACGAGCUUCAGAUGACUACAAGUUCAUGUUGGGGGCAUCAGUAGCAGCUUUUAACGAUUCUUUUCUGACAUGCGCCCCUAUGUGGUCUGGUGAUUAUGCGUUUGACCAUGACGAUAAAAUAGAGAACACCUUUUUUGUUUGGGGGGCUUGUUUUGAAAUAAAUGAUAAUGGAAAGAUAUCUCUUCUUAAUGGAUUAUACGGCCAUCC